AUACUUACCUGGCAGAGGAGAUACCAUGAUCAUGAAUGUGGUUUUCCCAUGAUGAGGCUUACCCAUCUCACUCUGAUGUGCUGAUCCCUUUGAUUUCCCCGAAUGUGGGAAACUUGACUGCAUAAUUUGUGAUAGUAAAGGACUACUGCUAUUCACGCUGUCCCCUUGA
rnacentral:snRNA from 1 species